GGAAAAGAAACCAACAGGGAUUGCCCCAGUAACGGCGAGUGAAGCGGCAACAGCUCAAAUUUGAAAUCUGGCCUCGGCCCGAGUUGUAAUUUGUAGAGGAAGCUUCUGGUGCGGCACCGGCUGAGUCCCCUGGAACGGGGCGCCAUAGAGGGUGAGAGCCCCGUAUAGCCGGCUGCCUAGCCUGUGUGAAGCUCCUUCGACGAGUCGAGUAGUUUGGGAAUGCUGCUCAAAAUGGGAGGUAAAUUCCUUCUAAAGCUAAAUAUUGGCCAGAGACCGAUAGCGCACAAGUAGAGUGAUCGAAAGAUGAAAAGCACUUUGAAAAGAGGGUUAAACAGCACGUGAAAUUGUUAAAAGGGAAGCGCUUGUGACCAGACUUGCGCCGGGGCGAUCAUCCGGUGUUCUCACCGGUGCACUCGCCCCGGCUCAGGCCAGCAUCGGUUUUCGCGGGGGGAUAAAGGCACCGGGAACGUAGCUCCUCCGGGAGUGUUAUAGCCCGGGGCGUAAUGCCCCCGCGGGGACCGAGGACCGCGCAUCUGCAAGGAUGCUGGCGUAAUGGUCACCAGCGACCCGUCUUGAAACACGGACCAAGGAGUCAAGGUUUUGCGCGAGUGUUUGGGUGUAAAACCCGCACGCGUAAUGAAAGUAAACGUAGGUGAGAGCUUCGGCGCAUCAUCGACCGAUCCUGAUGUAUUCGGAUGGAUUUGAGUAGGAGCGUUAAGCCUUGGACCCGAAAGAUGGUGAACUAUGCUUGGAUAGGGUGAAGCCAGAGGAAACUCUGGUGGAGGCUCGCAGCGGUUCUGACGUGCAAAUCGAUCGUCAAAUCUGAGCAUGGGGGCGAAAGACUAAUCGAACCAUCUA
rnacentral:rRNA from 1 species